rnacentral:rRNA from 1 species
AUUGAACGCUGGCGGCAGGCCUAACACAUGCAAGUCGAGCGGAGCGGCGGACGGGUGAGUAAUGCCUAGGAAUCUGCCUGGUAGUGAGGGAUAACGUCCGGAAACGGGCGCUAAUACCGCAUACUAUCAGAUGAGCCUAGGUCGGAUUAGCUAGUGGGUGGGGUAAAGGCCUACCAGGGCGACGAGCCGUAACUGGUCUGAGAGGAUGAUCAGUCACACUGGAACUGAGACACGGUCCAGACUCCUACGGGAGGCAGCAGUGGGGAAUAUUGGGCAAUGGGCGAAAGCCUGAUCCAGCCAUGCCGCGUGAGUGAAGAAGGUCUUCGGAUUGUAAAGCACUUUAGGUUGAGAGGCGGUACCCACAGAGUAAGCACCGGCUAACUUCGUGCCAGCAGCCGCGGUAAUAC